rnacentral:rRNA from 1 species
GAUGAACGCUGGCGGCGUGCUUAACACAUGCAAGUCGAACGAUGAAGCCCAGCUUGCUGGGUGGAUUAGUGGCGAACGGGUGAGUAACACGUGAGUAACCUGCCCUUAACUCUGGGAUAAGCCUGGGAAACUGGGUCUAAUACCGGAUAGGAGCGUCCACCGCAUGGUGGGUGUUGGAAAGAUUUAUCGGUUUUGGAUGGACUCGCGGCCUAUCAGCUUGUUGGUGAGGUAAUGGCUCUCCAAGGCGACGACGGGUAGCCGGCCUGAGAGGGUGACCGGCCACACUGGGACUGAGACACGGCCCAGACUCCUACGGGAGGCAGCAGUGGGGAAUAUUGCACAAUGGGCGAAAGCCUGAUGCAGCGACGCCGCGUGAGGGAUGACGGCCUUCGGGUUGUAAACCUCUUUCAGUAGGGAAGAAGCGAAAGUGACGGUACCUGCAGAAGAAGCACCGGCUAACUACGUG